rnacentral:rRNA from 1 species
UACGUAGGUGGCAAGCGUUGUCCGGAUUUACUGGGCGUAAAGGGCGCGUAGGCGGCGUGUUAAGUCACUUGUGAAAUCUCUAAGCUUAACUUAGAACGGUCAACUGAUACUGUGCGACUAGAGUGCAGAAGGGGUAACUGGAAUUCUCGGUAUAGCGGUGAAAUGCGUAGAUAUCGAGAGGAACACCUGCGGCGAAGGCGGGUUGCUGGGCUGACACUGACGCUGAUGCGCGAAAGCCAGGGGAGCGAACGGG